GAUGAAGAACGCAGCGAAAUGCGAUAAGUAAUGUGAAUUGCAGAAUUCAGUGAAUCAUCGAAUCUUUGAACGCACCUUGCGCCCUUUGGCUAUUCCAGAGGGCAUGCCUGUUUGAGUAUCAUGAACACCUCAACUCUCAUGGUUCUGCCAUGAUGAGCUUGGACUUUGGAGGUCUUGCUGGCCCCUGUGGUCAGCUCCUCUCAAAUGGAUCAGCUUGCCAGUGUUUGGUGGCAUCACAGGUGUGAUAACUAUCUACGCUUGUGGUUUUCCACCAGGUAACCUUCAGUGAUGGAGGUUCGCUGGAGCUCAUAAACGUCUCUCCUCAGCGAGGACAGCUUCUUGAACGUUUGAUCUCAAAUCAGGUAGGGCUACCCGCUGAACUUAAGCAUAUCAAUAACGGAGGA
rnacentral:misc_RNA from 1 species